CAAAAAGUAACCCAGAGAAUAAAAAAUCAUUUUAAUAAGCUUAUGUCAUGAGGUCUUUACUGCAGCAACUCUCUCCCUGUCUCUUUCAGGUGGCCUUAAUUUGAACCCCUUAAAAUUUCUGGUUUUUGACUGGAACUGGAGAGAUCAGAAGUUGAGGAGAAUGAUGGACAUUCCUGAGAUAAGAAAGGAGGUAUUCGAACUUCUGGAAAUGGAAGUGCUCAGUCUGUGCAAGUCAGAAUCCUUGAAACUGGGCCUUUUCUAAGUCUGUGUCCUAAUGAAGAUUCCAGUUUUCACAGUAGAAGUUGCAUCUUAUUUAAUGACUCUGAUACAUUGCAAGCACUCAGUAAAUAUCAGCAAAUAGUUUAUGUUAACUGUGUCAGCAGAUGGAUCACUGGAAUGUGGGGAUUCUGAAACAGAAAUGAAACUGUCCUUUUGACAACUGUCUUAUAUAAUAAAGUAUCACCGGCUUGUGUAUGA
rnacentral:sRNA from 1 species